GUAGGUGAACCUGCGGAAGGAUCAUUAUUGAAUAAAUCUGACUUGGUUGUAGCUGGCUUCCUCGGAAGCAUGUGCACGCCGGUCACCUUUAUCUAUCCACCUGUGCACCCUUUGUAGUCCUGGAUACCUCUCGCUGAAAGGCGGAUGCGGAGUCUGCCGUGCCUUCGAAGGAAGGCCGGCUUACUCUGAAUUUCCAGGUCUAUGAUCUUUAUACACCCCAAACGAAUGUUAUAGAAUGUAAUCAAUGGGACUUUGUUCCUAUAAAACUUAUACAACUUUCAGCAACGGAUCUCUUGGCUCUC
rnacentral:misc_RNA from 1 species